rnacentral:rRNA from 1 species
GACGAACGCUGGCGGCGUGCUUAACACAUGCAAGUCGAACGGAAAGGCCCUGCUUUUGUGGGGUGCUCGAGUGGCGAACGGGUGAGUAACACGUGAGUAACCUGCCCUUGACUUUGGGAUAACUUCAGGAAACUGGGACUAAUACCGGAUAGGAGCUCCUGCUGCAUGGUGGGGGUUGGAAAGUUUCGGCGGUUGGGGAUGGACUCGCGGCUUAUCAGCUUGUUGGUGGGGUAGUGGCUUACCAAGGCUUUGACGGGUAGCCGGCCUGAGAGGGUGACCGGCGACAUUGGGACUGAGAUACGGCCCAGACUCCUACGGGAGGCAGUAGUGGGGAAUAUUGCACAAUGGGCGGAAGCCUGAUGCAGCAACGCCGCGUGCGGGAUGACGGCCUUCGGGUUGUAAACCGCUUUCGCCUGUGACGAAGCGUGAGUGACGGUAAUGGGUAAAGAAGCACCGGCUAACUACGUG